AAAAAAGAGAGUUUGAUCCUGGCUCAGAUUGAAAGCUGGUAGAAAGAUUUACACAUGCAAGUCGAACGAUGAACCCUAGCUUGCUAGGGGGAUUAGUGGCGAACGGGUGACUCUAUAACGGAACGUGCCUUGUAAUGGGGGAUAACUAGUCGAAAGAUUAGCUAAUACCGCAUACGCCCUGAGGGGGAAAGUAGGGGAUCUUCGGACCUUACGUUAUAACAGCGGCCGAUAUCUGAUUACCUAGUUGGUGGGGUAAUGGCCUACCAAGGCUUCGAUCAGUAGCUGGUCUGAGAGGACGACCAGCCACACUGGAACUGAGACCCGGUCCAGACUCCUACGGGAGGCAGCAGUGGGGAAUUUUGGACAAUGGGCGCAAGCCUGAUCCAGCCAUUCCGCGUGAGUGAAGAAGGCCUUCGGGUUGUAAAGUCUUUCGCAAGGGAAAAAAACUUACUUUCUAAUAAAGAGUGAGGCUGACGGUCCUUGAUAAGAAGCACCGGCUAACUACGUGCCACCAGCCGCGGUAAUACUAAGGGUGCGAGCGUUAAUCGGAAUUACUGGGCGUAAACCGUGCGCAGCGGUUUGGCAGCCAAAUGUGAAAUCCCCCAGCUCAACUGGGAACUGCGUUUGAAAUGCCAACAAAAUAUGUCAGAGGGGAAAAAUCCCCGUGUA
rnacentral:rRNA from 1 species